rnacentral:rRNA from 1 species
GUGGGGAAUAUUGGACAAUGGGGGAAACCCUGAUCCAGCGACGCCGCGUGGGUGAAGAAGGCCUGCGGGUUGUAAAGCCCUUUCGGUAGGGACGAAAACUUCUGCUCUAACACGGCAGGAGCUUGACUUAACCUACAAAAGAAGCACCGGCUAACUCUGUGCCAGCAGCCGCGGUAAUACAGAGGGUGCGAGCGUUAAUCGGAAUUACUGGGCGUAAAGCGCACGUAGGCGGCUUGGCAUGUCGGGUGUGAAAUCCCCGGGCUCAACCUGGGAACUGCAUCCGAAACUGCCUUGCUAGAGUAUGGGAGAGGGAGGCGGAAUUUCCGGUGUAGCAGUGAAAUGCGUAGAUAUCGGAAGGAACAUCAGUGGCGAAGGCGGCCUCCUGGACCAAUACUGACGCUCAGGUGCGAAAGCGUGGGGAGCAAACAGGAUUAGAAACCCCAGUAGUCC